GUUUUUUCCCAAGCAUUUCCACCCAGAGAAGAAUGGGGUCGGAAGUUUGACCUGGGAACGGAAGUCCCUGGCGGGAAAGGGGAAAGAAGGGCCACUGUAGGUCAGCAACAGCAAUAAGUAAUGACCUAACCUUGGAGACUUGUGGAACUGGAUGGUUGUCUCCAUGUUUUGGCUAUUGCAAAUAGUGCUGCAAUG